GGGUUGUGAGGUUAAGCGACUAAGCGUACACGGUGGAUGCCCUGGCAGUCAGAGGCGAUGAAGGACGUGCUAAUCUGCGAUAAGCGUCGGUAAGGUGAUAUGAACCGUUAUAACCGGCGAUUUCCGAAUGGGGAAACCCAGUGUGUUUCGACACACUAUCAUUAACUGAAUCCAUAGGUUAAUGAGGCGAACCGGGGGAACUGAAACAUCUAAGUACCCCGAGGAAAAGAAAUCAACCGAGAUUCCCCCAGUAGCGGCGAGCGAACGGGGAGCAGCCCAGAGCCUGAAUCAGUGUGUGUGUUAGUGGAAGCGUCUGGAAAGGCGCGCGAUACAGGGUGACAGCCCCGUACACAAAAAUGCACAUAUUGUGAGCUCGAUGAGUAGGGCGGGACACGUGGUAUCCUGUCUGAAUAUGGGGGGACCAUCCUCCAAGGCUAAAUACUCCUGACUGACCGAUAGUGAACCAGUACCGUGAGGGAAAGGCGAAAAGAACCCCGGCGAGGGGAGUGAAAAAGAACCUGAAACCGUGUACGUACAAGCAGUGGGAGCACGCUUCGGCGUGUGACUGCGUACCUUUUGUAUAAUGGGUCAGCGACUUAUAUUCUGUAGCAAGGUUAACCGAAUAGGGGAGCCGAAGGGAAACCGAGUCUUAACUGGGCGUUAAGUUGCAGGGUAUAGACCCGAAACCCGGUGAUCUAGCCAUGGGCAGGUUGAAGGUUGGGUAACACUAACUGGAGGACCGAACCGACUAAUGUUGAAAAAUUAGCGGAUGACUUGUGGCUGGGGGUGAAAGGCCAAUCAAACCGGGAGAUAGCUGGUUCUCCCCGAAAGCUAUUUAGGUAGCGCCUCGUGAAUUCAUCUCCGGGGGUAGAGCACUGUUUCGGCAAGGGGGUCAUCCCGACUUACCAACCCGAUGCAAACUGCGAAUACCGGAGAAUGUUAUCACGGGAGACACACGGCGGGUGCUAACGUCCGUCGUGAAGAGGGAAACAACCCAGACCGCCAGCUAAGGUCCCAAAGUCAUGGUUAAGUGGGAAACGAUGUGGGAAGGCCCAGACAGCCAGGAUGUUGGCUUAGAAGCAGCCAUCAUUUAAAGAAAGCGUAAUAGCUCACUGGUCGAGUCGGCCUGCGCGGAAGAUGUAACGGGGCUAAACCAUGCACCGAAGCUGCGGCAGCGACGCUGAUGCGUUGUUGGGUAGGGGAGCGUUCUGUAAGCCUGCGAAGGUGUGCUGUGAGGCAUGCUGGAGGUAUCAGAAGUGCGAAUGCUGACAUAAGUAACGAUAAAGCGGGUGAAAAGCCCGCUCGCCGGAAGACCAAGGGUUCCUGUCCAACGUUAAUCGGGGCAGGGUGAGUCGACCCCUAAGGCGAGGCCGAAAGGCGUAGUCGAUGGGAAACAGGUUAAUAUUCCUGUACUUGGUGUUACUGCGAAGGGGGGACGGAGAAGGCUAUGUUGGCCGGGCGACGGUUGUCCCGGUUUAAGCGUGUAGGCUGGUUUUCCAGGCAAAUCCGGAAAAUCAAGGCUGAGGCGUGAUGACGAGGCACUACGGUGCUGAAGCAACAAAUGCCCUGCUUCCAGGAAAAGCCUCUAAGCAUCAGGUAACAUCAAAUCGUACCCCAAACCGACACAGGUGGUCAGGUAGAGAAUACCAAGGCGCUUGAGAGAACUCGGGUGAAGGAACUAGGCAAAAUGGUGCCGUAACUUCGGGAGAAGGCACGCUGAUAUGUAGGUGAGGUCCCUCGCGGAUGGAGCUGAAAUCAGUCGAAGAUACCAGCUGGCUGCAACUGUUUAUUAAAAACACAGCACUGUGCAAACACGAAAGUGGACGUAUACGGUGUGACGCCUGCCCGGUGCCGGAAGGUUAAUUGAUGGGGUCAGCGCAAGCGAAGCUCUUGAUCGAAGCCCCGGUAAACGGCGGCCGUAACUAUAACGGUCCUAAGGUAGCGAAAUUCCUUGUCGGGUAAGUUCCGACCUGCACGAAUGGCGUAAUGAUGGCCAGGCUGUCUCCACCCGAGACUCAGUGAAAUUGAACUCGCUGUGAAGAUGCAGUGUACCCGCGGCAAGACGGAAAGACCCCGUGAACCUUUACUAUAGCUUGACACUGAACAUUGAGCCUUGAUGUGUAGGAUAGGUGGGAGGCUUAGAAGUGUGGACGCCAGUCUGCAUGGAGCCGACCUUGAAAUACCACCCUUUAAUGUUUGAUGUUCUAACGUUGACCCGUAAUCCGGGUUGCGGACAGUGUCUGGUGGGUAGUUUGACUGGGGCGGUCUCCUCCUAAAGAGUAACGGAGGAGCACGAAGGUUGGCUAAUCCUGGUCGGACAUCAGGAGGUUAGUGCAAUGGCAUAAGCCAGCUUGACUGCGAGCGUGACGGCGCGAGCAGGUGCGAAAGCAGGUCAUAGUGAUCCGGUGGUUCUGAAUGGAAGGGCCAUCGCUCAACGGAUAAAAGGUACUCCGGGGAUAACAGGCUGAUACCGCCCAAGAGUUCAUAUCGACGGCGGUGUUUGGCACCUCGAUGUCGGCUCAUCACAUCCUGGGGCUGAAGUAGGUCCCAAGGGUAUGGCUGUUCGCCAUUUAAAGUGGUACGCGAGCUGGGUUUAGAACGUCGUGAGACAGUUCGGUCCCUAUCUGCCGUGGGCGCUGGAGAACUGAGGGGGGCUGCUCCUAGUACGAGAGGACCGGAGUGGACGCAUCACUGGUGUUCGGGUUGUCAUGCCAAUGGCACUGCCCGGUAGCUAAAUGCGGAAGAGAUAAGUGCUGAAAGCAUCUAAGCACGAAACUUGCCCCGAGAUGAGUUCUCCCUGACCCUUUAAGGGUCCUGAAGGAACGUUGAAGACGACGACGUUGAUAGGCCGGGUGUGUAAGCGCAGCGAUGCGUUGAGCUAACCGGUACUAAUGAACCGUGAGGCUUAACCUUACAACGCCGAAGCUGUU
rnacentral:rRNA from 1 species